CCGGCACAGGCUUCCCCAAAAUGUCGCCUCUUCCCACGGCCCAUGGGCAGGCCAUCCAGUCCCGGUGCAGUGGGAAAACAGCCAGAGGACACUCGGCGUGGCAGGAGCGCUGCGGUGCCUGGGUCCGGGCCAUACUGGCCUCUCGCUUGCCGUGACCUUGAGGAGGACAGAGACGCAGGGCUUGGGGUGGCGGCCUGGGUGGCAGUGGAGUGGCUGUCCAUGAAGCCUGGGCAGCAGCCGCUCCCAAGUCCCUGCUGCCACGGUCCCCUGAAGGCUGUGGUGGUUAAGCCUUUCUGCACGGGCAGGUGGCAGGUGCAGCCGCAGAGCCCGGAGUUCGUGCCUCUGCUGGCGUCCACCAGCUCCAGGUCCCAGCAAGGGUGGAGGGCACCCCAGAGCGGAGCACGGAGCCCAGCCGAGGCCUGUCUCGGUUGCAUCCUCCCUGGCCCUCCCUGCACCCAAGCAGAGGGAGCCGAGGCCACUCUCCAUGGCUGCCCCUCGGUGCUCUGGCUCCGUGGCUAUUUUUAACCUGAGUAUGGUAAAUGCAUUUCUACAGGAAAACCACUCUCCUCGAUCAAUCCCUGCAGCCGCUCGGCGUGGAUGGCAGGACGCACUCGCCGCCCGGCUGCUCCUGUCCAGGCUGCUGAGGACUGUAACUGAAGCUCAUCAGCUGACCAGGAGGGUCCAUCGUCGUGGAAGCUCCAUGGGACUAGAGCCACCCACCCCGUGUGAGCCCGGCACACCGCAGGCACCUGAGAACGUCUGUGAAUGACUGAACUCAGGAGGAGUUUUAGGUUUACGGAAGAAUGGAGUGCCCGGGAAGCUCCCACGGGCCCGUCCCCCUUACUGCGGUCUCCAGUCGGUGUGGGGCGUUGGAUAGCACGGGUGAAGCAGUCACCACCCGAAGCACUUCCCGGCUGCUUCCGAGUGUGGGCAGAAUGAUGAAUAGAGCUGCCGUGUAGCAACCCCCGCGGGUGUGUGUGGACCGACCUUUCAACUUCCUCUGGGUAAGUACCCAGGAGCACGCCUGCUGGAUCGUGUGGCAGAAGCCGCCAGCCUGUCUCGCAGCGGCCUCGGCCGAGGGGC